GGACAGAUAUCUUGGAAAUCUGCGGUAUUUUUUUUUUUUUAAAGAAGGUCAUUCACUACAUGAAGAUCAAAUACCAUGAAAGUACCGUGGACAGUUUCGGGACGUUGUCUUUGCAAAGCUUUCUGGUGCCCGUAUAGUACGCAUAGCAGUCCACCCCAAUGCUAUGAAGAUGGGAUAUGGGUCUGCUGCGGUUGAACUCUUGACCAGAUACUUUGAGGGUCAGCUAGCUUCAAUAUCAGAAGGUGAUGAUGAACUGGAUGUGGAGCCUUCAGAGUUACCAAGGCUGCUGAAAAUGUUAAUAGAAUUUGCUCCAUUCUACAUCAGUCAAAUCCUAGUUGAGAAUAUCUGUUUCUCCUCAUUCUCCUGAAUUGGUUAUUCUUGUAUUGUCUACUAGUUCCUAACACAAUUUCUAUAUAUGGUUGGAUCAGAGUGCUGUGACUGGUGAGCGAGCACACAUGUAUGCUUUCGAAACCAUUAACAUUAAGCAACGACACGUUUGAAGUUGAUGAGUCGGAUGAACUGGGCUUCUUCGUCCCCUUCCAUAAAGUACUAUUUUAGGUUGACAACUUUUCCUGGUGCGGUUUUAUCGUGUUGAUAAUAUGAUCAACUUCCUGGAGGUUGAUUCUUGGGGGAAUUCAUCAGAUGGAUUUUUGAAGAAACUCGCCCGUGUGCUUUCACCUUAUGAUAUGGUUUGACUCAGAGGGUAGACUUCGUUGCCAAACUUCGUUGACUUCAAUCUGGUCUAUGACAUCUGCAAAACUCUAGCUCAUCAUUAUUUUCAAGAGAAGCUCCUUGUCUCGCUGUCAUAUGUUCAAGCAUCUGUACUCCUGUGUUUAGGCUUGCUAGAGUAGUCUGAUUUCUCGAACAUCGAGAGAGUGCUUGAACCUCACAAUGUAUCAGUAGAUGAAGAUCUCAGGGAAGGAGCAAAAGAAGUUGAGGAACAAAUGAGGGCAAAGAUAGAAGAACUGUUGGAUCUUGAGCUGCUUCAUUGAAGCGAUACCAUGGGAGAGAUCACGGAGACAUCAAGCACGGCACUAGCAAAAGUAAAGGAGGGUGGUUCCUCCUCGUCCUCAAUCAAGUGCCCGAUGCUCACCACGACCAAUUACACGGUUUGGUCCAUGAAGAUGAGAAUUCUCCUCAGGGUGCAUAAGGUCUGGGAUAUCAUCGAAGAACCUUCUGAUGAUAGUGAGAAAAACGACAUGGCGGUGGCACUAUUGUUCCAAUCAAUCCCUGAGACGCUUAUUCUACAAGUUGGUGAGUUGGAUACGGCAAAAAAAGUUGGUGAGUUGGAUACGGCUAGAAUGUGAUCUUUAAAUUUAAGAGGGCAUGGUUGUUAUUUUAAAACUAAAGAGGUGAGUGUUGCAAGGCAAAGAAAUAUAAAGGGCUAUAAAGUUUGGUCCGUACGACGAACGCUUUCUCCCCUCGUCUCUCUCAAGUCUCAACACCUCCUGAUAAAGUUCUAAAGCGCCUAAAGCAGCAGUCUCACUAAACCCUAGGCGGUUACGUCGCAUUGCUUCGAAUUAACCAUGGAAUCUCAUCUAAUUUCUCCCAAAA